rnacentral:rRNA from 1 species
UACGGAGGGGGCAAGCGUUAUUCGGAAUUACUGGGCGUAAAGAGCGCGUAGGCGGCUUGUUAAGUCGUGGGUUUAAUUUCAGGGCUCAACCCUGGAGCUGCCUGCGAUACUGGCGAGCUAGAGUACUAGAGAGGGAAGUGGAAUUCCUAGUGUAGCGGUGAAAUGCGUAGAUAUCAGGAAGAACACCAACGGCGAAGGCAGCUCGCUAGGACGGUACUGACGCUGAGACGCGAAAGCGUGGGGAGCGAACAGG